AGUUUCCAGUGGGGAGUGGGGAGCUGCGAUGUUGAUGCGCCGCUUUCAUUCAUCAAUGGCGGUAUCAUCAUCACUAUCUGUAUCUAUUUUCAAGGUUCUUCCAUGGCGGUCUAUGCGACCAAGCAAAGUGUUCAUCACCACCACCACUACAACGACAAUCACUCUUCACACUCCUAACCCUAGAUGCAACAACACCGCUCUCUCCUUUUGUUCCAACUCCACCGAACCCGCCGACCUAUGCCCCCAACAUUCCUCAAAACAAAGCCCUUUGAUACCUGGAUUGUAUCUUGUAGGAACUCCAAUUGGGAACCUUGAAGAUAUCACUUUAAGAGCUCUGCGUGUGUUAAGAUCAGCUGAUGUGAUACUUUCUGAAGAUACGAGGCAUUCGGGGAAGUUACUUCAGCAUUACAACAUCAAAACCCCUCUUCUAAGUUAUCAUAAAUUCAAUGAGUCUCAAAGAGAACAAGCAGUUCUGAAGAGAUUGCAACAGGGUGAAAUUGUGGCCCAAAUCAGUGAUGCAGGAACACCAGGCAUAAGUGAUCCUGGUAUGGAAUUGGUUAAGUUAUGUGUGGAUGAGAAUAUUCCUGUUAUUCCUAUCCCUGGUCCUUCUGCUUUUGUUGCUGCACUUUCUGCCUCAGGUUUGGCUACUGACAAGUUUACAUUUGUUGGAUUUCUGCCCAAACAUGCCGGAUCAAGGAAGGAGAGGUUGAUUGUAUCUGCAAAGGAAGUAGCAACACAGAUAUUCUAUGUUCCUCCUCAUAAGCUUCAUCAAUUUAUUGAAGAGGCUUCUUCUAUUUUUGGUGACUGUAGACAAUGUGUCAUAGCUCGAGAGAUGACAAAAAUACAUGAAGAGUUUUGGCGUGGAACUUUGGAAGAAGCCAAAGGAGCAUUCUUGACUCGCCAACCAAAAGGAGAAAUCACAUUCUUGAUUGAAGGAAAGGCAAAUUGUGUGGUGGAAGCUCCAUCCGAGUCUCAGCUUGAGAAUGAACUGAGAGAGUUGAUCUCUGGAGGGCAAUGUCUUUCUUCGGCAGUCAAGUUGGUUGCUGGAGGACAUUCCAUGCGAAGAAAAGAGAUAUAUUCACUUGCACUAAGGAAAUUUGGGAAGCUGGUUGAUAAGGAGAACUGAUGCAGAUUAUGUUGUAAUUCUCACUGCUUUUAUGACUUCUUUUUGCCUGUCAUUCAAGAUUUCAAAGUCCAUCUCCCUACAAUUUUUGCUGGCACUUGAUCCUUUUGGUUGUUGAUGGCAACUGCAGCACGCAAAUCCCUGUCUCUUUUCUCGUCUUCCACAUUGCCCUUUGUUUUUGGAUAAUGCAUGGCCAUAUGGGUGUUUAAGGUUCUGCUUGUGUACAUAGGGUUGAAUUAGGCCUUGUUAUUUUGGUGAAUAGGCAAAAAAAGCUCGGUUGAGAGUACUCUACUAGUGUCUGGGUCUUAUUCCAUCUCAAACUCGGAUUAAGAAGUGUGUGAUCCUUUGACACCAAGGAUAAGAGCUUAUUAUAAGUGCUGACUCUAUGAAGGGAAUCUAUAAAGAAGCAUGGAGUCAACAAGUUCAGCUGAUAAAUUAAUAGGACUUUUUAACUGUGAUAAGUAAUUUUUACAUGAUUCAAUAACCGACUGUUUUGAAACACAAGAACGUCAGAGUGCAAAAAAUGUUGUGAGUAAAGCUUGCCAUGUUUUUUAUUUUUUUUAAAAUUUUAAUUUUACCCUCUUAUAUCUAUUAUAUUUUUUUAAGUCA